GACAGAGGCCCCAAGCGUUGUUCGGAUUCAUUGGGCGUAAAGGGUGCGUAGGCGGCGCGGUAAGUCGGGUGUGAAAUCUUGGAGCUUAACUCCGAAACUGCAUUCGAUACUGCCGUGCUUGAGGACUGGAGAGGAGACUGGAAUUUACGGUGUAGCGGUGAAAUGCGUAGAUAUCGUAAGGAAGACCAGUGGCGAAGGCGGGUCUCUGGACAGUUCCUGACGCUGAGGCACGAAGGCCAGGGGAGCAAACGGG
rnacentral:rRNA from 1 species